rnacentral:rRNA from 1 species
GUCCACGCCCUAAACGAUGCGAACUGGAUGUUGGGUGCAACUAGGCACUCAGUAUCGAAGCUAACGCGUUAAGUUCGCCGCCUGGGGAGUACGGUCGCAAGACUGAAACUCAAAGGAAUUGACGGGGCCCGCACAAGCGCUGGAGUAUGUGGUUUAAUUCGAUGCAACGCGAAGAACCUUACCUGGUCUUGACAUCCACGGAACUUUCCAGAGAUGGAUUGGUGCCUUCGGGAACCGUGAGACAGGUGCUGCAUGGCUGUCGU